rnacentral:lncRNA from 13 species
AUGGCAACUUCAUCCCCAAGGUUCACGUGGUGUGAUUGUCGCAAACAUAAGAUUCCUGUCAAAGACACCCAUGAGCUGUGUCUGCACUGUCUGGGCAUCCAGCAUGCCAAGGAGGCUGUGCUGGAGUACGGCAAAUGCCCGCACUGUGCCAAGAUGGACUGGAGCACCUGCAUCAACCGCCUCACUAAAGUUCAGGAGAUAAUGCACCGCGAGAGCCAGCAGAGGAAGCACGAGGCAGCACAGUCUGAAGUUCAGCCCAAACCUGAGACCACUUCAGCUCCCAUCAAGGAACCAAAACCGGAAGAAAAUACAGUCCCCACCCUGCCCCCACAUCGGCUCUCUGCUUCCACACCAGCCCAUUCCUCCACCAUGCCAGUGUUGUUCACCAUCCUCUCCCCACCCCCAGCGCAGGCAGGGGACAAUUUGAGCAUCCCAAAAGGCACUUUUCUCUCACAACUUGCUAUUCAGCAGUCAGCUGACUCCACCCCAUCCUUGAGCCAAUCAGGUUCCAACAUGCUGACCUCCAGCUCCUGUAAACGACACGGUUUCUCAUCGUGCUGCUCCAAACGCUCCAAACGAAGCCGCGGUAGCCACAGGCGGAGACGCUCUCCCUCCUCCUCCUCUUCCUCUUCAGGCUGGACCUCUGAAGAUGAUUCCUGCCCCUCUGGAAAGGGAAGGAGGUCUCAGAGGGAGUCGCGGCAAGCUGUCCGGUCAGAGAGGAGGCACGGUGAGCUGGUGGAGGUUGUUCAACAGGCCGUCCAGCUACAGUGGGCUGUUCUGGAGAAGCGCAUUGAGGCUCUGGAGAGGAGAGGUGCUGAGGCUGUUGUGUCAUUCCCCACUCCAGCCCAAACUAUACAUCUUCAUGCCUCCAUCCCUCUGGCAUCCACCUCGUCUCAGGAGGGCAACCAGAGAGAUUUAUCCUGCCCUGUCAGCGAGCAGCUGGUGACGGAAUCUAUGUCCGGUACCAUUGUGAAACAGGAAGAGGAGCCUUCCUCCAUUUCGUUUGCCUUGAGACCUCUCAGUGAUGGACACCGUGAAGGGGAGGAUGCCUCUCAGUCAACUGAGGGUCCUAUCUCUAAACAGGACUUACUGGAAGCUAUGGAGCUUCAGAGCCUCAUGGCACGUGCUGCCAAGUAUCUUGGUAUAGACUUUCCCAGCACACCAACCAGCCUCAGCCCACCAGACCCCACAAUGGUGCCGGAGUUUGAGGACCUGGUCCAGAGCUCUUGGCCUAACCCUGCCAGCUCGAAACCGUACAGGGAGCUUUUCUCUAAGAUGUACAGGCUUCACGACUGCCAGUCUCCAGCCUAUGACCAGAUGCCCCAGGUCAACUGCUUCAUGUCGGCCAUCUUCCAGGCGGUGAAGCCCACGGAGAACAAGGAGGCGCCGGUGCCAGCUGAGCGAUGGCGUUUCACUGAGACUCUAGUAGAGAGGAUGUACCAGACUGCUGGCAUGCUUGCCAAGACGGCCAACUACCUGCGCUACCUAUCAGACUACCAGAGGAGGCUUCUGCUGGAGAUCACUGAGGAUUGUCCAGCCCAGCGUUUUAUGGCGGCCCUUAAUGAGCUGAAGCUCAUUGGCCAGUUCACCCUCCAGCUGUCCUCCCACCAGGCUGAACUGUCUGGAAGGGUCAUGGCUGCUUCUGUAGCCAUCCGAAGACAGGUCUGGAUGGCUAAGACCAACUACACAGACUCUCUGAAAGCCACUGUGGCUGACCUUCCAUUUGUGGUCAGUCACACCUUUGGGGUUAGCUCAGCCUCUGGCCCUAGCUCGACUGGAAUGGUGUGCAAACAGGAACCGUUGUAA